AUGAACGCUGGCGGCGUGCCUAAUACAUGCAAGUCGAGCGAACGGACGAGAAGCUUGCUUCUCUGAUGUUAGCGGCGGACGGGGGAGUAACACGUGGAUAACCUACCUAUAAGACUGGGAUAACUUCGGGAAAACGUAGCUAAUACCGGAUAAUAUUUUGAACCGCAUGGGUUCAAAGUGAAAAAAGGUCUUGCUGUCACUUAUAGAUGGAUCCGCGCUGCAUUAGCUAGUUGGUAAGGUAACGGCUUACCAAGGCAACGAUGCAUAGCCGACCUGAGAGGGUGAUCGGCCACACUGGAACUGAGACACGGUCCAGACUCCUACGGGAGGCAGCAGUAGGGAAUCUUCCGCAAUGGGCGAAAGCCUGACGGAGCAACGCCGCGUGAGUGAUGAAGGUCUUCGGAUCGUAAAACUCUGUUAUUAGGGAAGAACAUAUGUGUAAGUAACUGUGCACAUCUUGACGGUACCUAAUCAGAAAGCCACGGCUAACUACGUG
rnacentral:rRNA from 1 species